rnacentral:lncRNA from 1 species
CUGAGCGCAGCGCUGCAUCCCCUCCACCCGCAGGCGGUACAACAGUAGACCCUGUCUCCUGCAAGAUAAAUGGUACUUUGGGAAUUGCGUUUAAUUAGGAAUAACUGAGGAGAGAGAGGCUUGCUCAUCCACCGGUGGUCUAAUCACAACAUGUGUUCAAGCCAACUGACAAGGUUGCGCAGUCAUGUGCUUACCUAAAUAUCCCAGGAGGUUAGGAGGAGCAGAUGUCUGUCUGCCCUGUGAGCUGCCAAGUAGGUCUGAAGCAGGGGAGCCACAAGACACAAGGCCCCAAAUGGUGUGACAAAGGAUGUGCAGGAAGCCUGUCUCCGCCUGGCUGUUGGGGAUCAAUCAGACGAGAGCCCCUCGGUCAUCCAGUCAUCUAUUUAGGUCCACUCCGUUGAGAGAAUGAUUAGCAGCAUAAAGAAAGGACAGUGUUGAACUUCCAUAGACUCACUGAUAGUACAGUAUCAUGGAGAUGGUGUUAGAGAAGCCGGCGGUAAACCUGUUCCUUUUCUAAAUCAUUUGUUGACAUUAAGUUUAUGACUUAGAGUUGGAGAGAUAGAUGAACGAUCAUAUUCAUUCUGUUCAUUUAUCUUGAACUACUUGUCACUGAAUUGUACUACUAUCUCAUCAAACAUAACCGUCUCAAAUAAAUGGUAAGUAAUAA